ACGGAGUGGAUCGAUGCUUGGAUGAUCGGCCACGAGAAUGAGAGUGCCAAGUGGGCCAUUUUUGGUAAGCAGAACUGGCGAUGCGGGAUGAACCGAACGCAUAGCUAAGGUGCCAAAGUGCACGCUCAUGAGAGACCAGAAAAGGUGUUGGUUCAUCCAGACAGCAGGGCGGUGGCCAUGAAAGUCGGCAUCCGCUAAGGAGUGUGUUACGACUCACCUGCCGAAUGAAGCAGCCCUGAAAAUGGAUGGCGCUGAAGCGUGAGACCGAGGCUAUGCCGUCGGGGCGAGAUGGGAGCCUUGACGAGUAGGAGGGCGUGGAGGUUGCGAGGGAGUGUAGGCCGUGAGGCCGCAUGGAGCAGCCUCUAGUGCAGAUCUUGGUGGGAGUAGCAAAUAUUCAAAGGGGGGACUUUGAAGACUGAAGUGGGGAAAGGUUCCGACUGAACCGAAAAGGGAGUCGGGUGAGUCGGUCCUAAGGGGG
rnacentral:rRNA from 1 species